UUUCUUGCAUCUUGUGCAGUAGGGUUUGGAAUCUUCACUCUGAAUGUGUGUCUUUACCUGAGGAUUUUUAGAUUGUGCUACCAUGGCAUUGCCUUCCUCAGGGUAUACACAUUCCCUUUGAGUUUCUUCUUGUAGAACCAUGCUAAAAGCAUCUUCUACUGAAGGUGGGGUUUUCUUCUUCAAAAUCUGUCCUCUGAUGGUCAUGAAGGAGUCAUUCAGACCAGUUGUGAAGGUGAUUAAUCUCUCCAGAUUUUCCUUUGCUAUGCAGUUAGCAUUGCCACAG
rnacentral:lncRNA from 1 species